rnacentral:lncRNA from 1 species
AUCGCCGCGCCGGCCGCCAACGGCCACUGCAACGGUCCCUACCGGGGAGGGCCGGCUUUUGCCGGCUUCCGGAGAAGGGAGGAAAGAGAGAGGUCGGGGCUUGGGGGCAGAGAAGGGCAUGGGAAAUGACCGGGGUGGGGUGGGGGGACUUGGGGGCAAGCCCCUCGGAAGCUCCAGCGGGUCCGGAGAUAAAGGACACCCGGGCGCAGCGGCCCUCUUCCCCUGCAGCGGCUCGGUCCCGGGUGGCGCUCACCGUGCGCGCGCGGAGGCCGCUGGAAAUCACGAGUGGGCAGCUGAGGGGGCAAGGGUGGUGGUCCCUUCCGGGCAGUGUCGCGCGCUCCGUGGGCGCAGGCCGCUUCGCCCUGUCCCGCUGCACCGAGAGCCGCUCCUAGUGAGGCGAGAGCCGGGAGCGGGAGGGACUUAGCCAGCCAGCAGCCCUCUGGGUCGCGAGGGGCGGGAGAAGCGGAGAGCGGGGGCCUUCGCGGCCGCUCGGGCUGCCCGGCGCGAACGCCUGCCCGGAAGAGGCCGCCCGCUAGCUUCUCCGCCGUCCCCCGGCCCCGGCGCUGUGGGGCGCCUCCUGGACGCAGGUUUACCUAACACUGUAAAGAGAACGUUCAAUGAAAUACAAAGAAAAAGAUGAUUUUUUUGCUCCAAGAGAAUUAUUCCAGCCUUGGGGUGGAGUGGGUGUGGACAGUGAGCAGAAAAACAAGAAACCAAGUUCUGGGAGGAAAUAAAAUGAAUAUAAUCAGUGGAAAAUUCAGCAACGCAAUAUUGUGUGACAACAGUAAAUGACCAAUUUAUAAUUUAAAUUCUAUGAAAAAGAGAUUUAGAAGAGAGUUCUACCAAACCCACUGUUCCCUAGGGAAUAAAAUGAGUAACGCUGACUGGCAACAGUGCAUCCUGAGGGAGCCUGGAGAAACAACAGCAGCCUCCGACCUCAAGAUAUCCUGGUUAGCUGCAAAGUCUGUUAUAUAUUCAUUCAAAUAUUUAUUAAGCACCUUACUGUGUGCUGGGAACUCUUAAGUGCUAGGGAUUAUGAACAAAACAUAUUUACAUGGAGCUUACAAUCUAAGUAAGGGGAAGACAAGUAAAUACAUGUCAGAUAGUGAAAUGGUAGAGAAAAGAAAAAACGGUGGUCAGGGAAAGCCUUACUGACAUUUGAGCUAGUACUGAAGGAAGUGAGGAAGAAGGCUAAGCAGCUACCUUGGAGGAGGAAUUUUCCAGGUAGAGGAAACACCAAGUACUAAGAUCUGAGACGGAGUGUGCUUUUUGGGUUCAAGGAACAGCACGGAAACCAUAGUGGCAAGAGCAGAGAGUAGGAGAUGAGGUCAAACAUAUUAAAGGGGGCUGGUCUUGUAGGGCCUGAAAGACCACGGUAAGGACUUUGGCUUUUGCUGCAUUAGAUGGGGAGUCAUAGUUUCAAAAUUUAGUCACCUAAACCAUCCUUAGCACUACGCUGAGCAAUUAUGCCAGGCCUAGAGGCUAGAAACGGAGAUGAUAAUCCUUUAGCUCCUUGCAACUCAAAGUUUAUUCAGCCCAACCUCUCUCACUACCACUAUCACUACUAUCUUGGACUGCAUAGCAGACUUAACUGAAUCUACAUUUUAACAAGAUCUUCAGGAGAUUUGUGUGUACAUUAAAGUUUCAGAAAUCACUGUUUUGUUCCUCGGAAUUGACCAAUGUCUAAAGUUUUAUUGGGAGACAUCCAAUCCAUCUAUGCACAUCCAUUCUAUGACUGCCUC